UACAGAGGUCCCAAGCGUUGUUCGGAUUCACUGGGCGUAAAGGGUGCGUAGGUGGUGGGGUAAGUCGGAUGUGAAAUCUCGGAGCUCAACUCCGAAAUGGCAUUGGAAACAACCCUGCUUGAGGGUCGGAGGGGGGACUGGAAUUCUCGGUGUAGCAGUGAAAUGCGUAGAUAUCGAGAGGAACACCAGUGGCGAAGGCGAGUCCCUGGACGACUCCUGACACUGAGGCACGAAAGCUAGGGGAGCAAACAGG
rnacentral:rRNA from 1 species